rnacentral:lncRNA from 10 species
UAGAGAUCCAUCAUGUGAAAUCUGCCAACUCUGGAAUCUGAAUUGCUCAUGGUGGGCAAGGAAGAGGCAGGAAUAUAAGUGUGAUGGGAAGAGACAUAAUAGCACCUCACAGCACAUAGAAAUGAUGCUUCCUGCCCUUUAACAUCGGACUCCGAGUUCUUCAGCUUUUGGAUUCUGGAUCUAUACCAAUGGUUUGCCAGGGUCUCUUGGACCUUUGGCCACACACUGAAGGCUGCACUAUUGGCUUCCCUACUUUUGAGGUUUUGGGACUCAGACUGGCUUCCUUGUUCUCCUCAGCUUGUAGAUGGCCUAUUGUGUGACUUCACCUUGUGAUCAUAGCUUACAAAAAGCUUGAUUGAAAAGAGAAGAGAAUGGAACACGGUAUGAUGACAACAAAGAGAAAAGGAGCCAAGAUUAGUCUGGACAGUAUGCAGACAUUGACUCUGCUUUGAGGACAGAGCUGGAAUUAAUUUCACGUGCACCACAUAAGGUAAAGAAAACAGCUUCAGACCAUGAUUAUCUACGAUAUGGGGUCUGGGUUUGCAGAUUAAUUUUAACAUAAGAAAAUGAAGUGACAGCUGAGGAUCUUUCAUGACACACUGCUGAGCUGCUGAAUGAAGUAUGCAUGGUCAGUAUAAAGGAUGGGGUGGACCAGAAAAGCUCCUUUGUCAGUUUCUUUGUUAUAGAAUUAAGAAAAAUGUAUGUGUGUGUAUAUAUGAGUGUGUAUACACAUGUGUUUUAUGUAAAAUAUAUAUUUUAAAAGAUGGAAAAUUUAUUAAUUAACAUCAAGCAAGAGCCAUAACAAUAUUUAGAUAAAAAUCUUUCCUGUGGGUCUUCUCAUUGUCUUGAAUCUUUU